UCUUGCUCGGGGCGAAAGUGGGCAGCGGAGCAGAGCGUCCGAAACCCAGCCACUGCGGACCGCAACCUUUGGGGAAAGGGGGCAAGGUGGGAACGCAGGGCCGCACGUGGGAACCGUUCGCAGCCCUUGCAGCCCCUGCCCGCGCAGCUGCAGGAGGAGGCGGCCCGGGACUCCAGCCUGCAGCCCCUAUCCCGCUUCCUCCCAUGCUCCGGUCAGGGCGCGGCGCUACCUGCUGCAGCUUCUCCCCUCCGGGGAGGCGCGGGCUCCUCCCCACACCCCCGCGGUCCAGCCCUGGGUCCCAGGCUCCGGUUCCGCGUCAGCAUCCUGGCGCUCAAGGAGUUCAUGCCGGACUCCUGCGGACUACACAUCCCGGCGGCCCACGCGGCCCCCGUCACGUGACGCAAGGAUCGCCGGCCUUUCCGCUAGAGGGCUGCCUAGAACUACAACUCCCAGCAGGCUCCGUGGCGGCCCUCCGCGCGGCACCGCUGCCGGAAGUGCGGGUCCCGCUUCCGGCAGCGUCCGGGGCCAGGGGGGUUCGCCUUUCUCCGCGUCGGGGCGGCCCGGCGCGCGGUGGCGCGGCGAGGGAGGGGUGUUCUGGUGCGUCCUGGCCCACCAUGGCCAAACCAGCAAGCAAAGAUUCAGGCUUGAAGGAGAAGUUUAGGAUUCUGUUUGGACUGGGAACACCGAGGCCAAAUCCCAGGUCUGCAGAGGGCAAACAGACGGAAUUUAUCAUCACCGCCGAAAUCCUGAGAGAGCUGAGUGUGGAAUGCGGCCUCAGCAAUCGCAUCCGGAUGAUAGGGCAGAUUUGUGAAGUCGCAAAAACCAAGAAAUUUGAAGAGCACGCAGUGGAAGCACUCUGGAAGGCGGUUGCGGAUCUGUUGCAGCCAGAACGGCCGCUGGAGGCCCGGCACGCGGUGCUGGCUCUGCUGAAGGCCAUCAUUCAGGGGCAGGGCGAGCGUUUGGGGGUCCUCAGGGCCCUCUUCUUUAAGGUCAUCAAGGAUUACCCUUCCAACGAAGACCUCCACGAGAGGCUGGACGUUUUCAAGGCCCUCACAGACAAUGGGAGACACAUCACCUACUUGGAGGAAGAGCUGGCGGACUUUGUCCUGCAGUGGAUGGAUGUCGGCUUGUCCUCGGAAUUCCUUCUGGUGCUGGUGAACUUGGUCAAAUUCAACAGCUGUUACCUCGAUGAGUACAUCGCAAGGAUGGUUCAGAUGAUCUGCCUGCUCUGCGUCCGGACCGCAUCCUCUGUGGACAUAGAGGUCUCCCUGCAGGUGCUGGACGCCGUGGUCUGCUACAACUGCCUGCCGGCUGAGAGCCUCCCGCUGUUCAUCGUCACCCUGUGCCGCACCAUCAAUGUCAAGGAGCUCUGCGAGCCUUGCUGGAAGCUGAUGCGGAACCUCCUUGGCACCCACCUGGGCCACAGUGCCAUCUACAACAUGUGCCACCUCAUGGAGGACAGAGCCUAUAUGGAGGACGCGCCCCUGCUGAGAGGAGCCGUGUUUUUUGUGGGCAUGGCUCUCUGGGGAGCCCACCGGCUCUAUUCUCUCAGGAACUCGCCGACAUCGGUGCUGCCAUCAUUUUACCAGGCCAUGGCAUGUCCGAACGAGGUGGUGUCCUAUGAGAUCGUCCUGUCCAUCACCAGGCUCAUCAAGAAGUAUAGGAAGGAGCUCCAGGUGGUGACGUGGGACAUUCUGCUGAACAUCAUCGAACGGCUCCUUCAGCAGCUCCAGACCUUGGACAGCCCGGAGCUCAGGACCAUCGUCCAUGACCUGCUGACCACGGUGGAGGAGCUGUGUGACCAGAAUGAGUUCCACGGGUCUCAGGAGAGAUACUUUGAACUGGUGGAGAGAUGUGCAGACCAGAGGCCUGAGUCCUCCCUCCUGAACCUGAUCUCCUACAGAGCGCAGUCCAUUCACCCGGCCAAGGACGGCUGGAUUCAGAACCUGCAGGCGCUGAUGGAGAGAUUCUUCAGGAGCGAGUCCCGAGGCGCCGUGCGCAUCAAGGUGCUGGAUGUGCUGUCCUUUGUGCUGCUCAUCAACAGGCAGUUCUACGAGGAGGAGCUGAUUAACUCAGUGGUCAUCUCUCAGCUCUCCCACAUCCCCGAGGAUAAAGACCAUCAGGUCCGAAAGCUGGCCACCCAGUUGCUGGUGGACCUGGCAGAGGGCUGCCACACACACCACUUCAACAGUCUGCUGGACAUCAUCGAGAAGGUGAUGGCCCGCUCCCUCUCCCCACCCCCGGAGUUGGAAGAAAGGGAUGUGGCCGCGUACUCGGCGUCCUUGGAGGAUGUGAAGACAGCUGUCCUGGGGCUUCUGGUCAUCCUUCAGACUAAGCUGUACACCCUGCCUGCGAGCCAUGCCACGCGCGUUUAUGAGAUGCUGGUCAGCCACAUUCAGCUCCACUACAAGCACAGCUACACCCUGCCAAUCGCCAGCAGCAUCCGGCUGCAGGCCUUUGACUUCCUGUUGCUGCUGCGGGCCGACUCACUGCACCGCCUCGGCCUGCCCAACAAGGAUGGGGUCGUGCGGUUCAGCCCCUACUGCGUCUGCGACUACAUGGAGCCGGAGAGAGGCUCUGAGAAGAAGGCCAGCGGCCCCCUUUCUCCUCCCACAGGGCCACCUGGCCCGGCGCCUGCAGGCCCGGCUGUGCGGCUGGGCUCCCUGCCCUACUCCCUGCUCUUCCGCGUCCUGCUGCAGUGCUUGAAGCAGGAGUCUGACUGGAAGGUGCUGAAGCUGGUUCUGGGCAGGCUGCCUGAGUCCCUGCGCUACAAAGUACUCAUCUUUACCUCCCCUUGCAGUGUGGACCAGCUGUGCUCUGCUCUCUGCUCCAUGCUUUCAGGCCCAAAGACACUGGAGCGGCUCCGAGGCGCCCCGGAAGGCUUCUCCAGAACUGACCUGCACCUGGCUGUGGUUCCAGUGCUGACGGCAUUAAUCUCUUACCAUAACUACCUGGACAAAACCAAACAGCGCGAGAUGGUCUACUGCCUGGAGCAGGGCCUCAUCCACCGCUGUGCCAGCCAGUGCGUCGUAGCCUUGUCCAUCUGCAGCGUGGAGAUGCCUGACAUCAUGAUCAAGGCGCUGCCCGUCCUGGUGGUGAAGCUCACACACAUCUCGGCCACAGCCAGCAUGGCCGUCCCGCUGCUGGAGUUCCUGUCCACUCUGGCCAGGCUGCCGCAGCUCUACAGGAACUUCGCCGCGGAGCAGUAUGCCAGUGUGUUCGCCAUCUCACUGCCGUACACCAACCCCUCCAAGUUUAAUCAGUACAUCGUGUGUCUGGCCCAUCACGUCAUAGCCAUGUGGUUUAUCAGGUGCCGCCUGCCCUUCCGGAAGGAUUUUGUCCCUUUCAUCACUAAGGGCCUGCGGUCCAAUGUCCUCUUGUCUUUUGAUGACACCCCCGAGAAGGACAGCUUCAGGGCCCGGAGUACUAGUCUCAACGAGAGGCCCAAGAGUCUGAGGAUAGCCAGACCCCCCAAACAAGGCUUGAAUAACUCUCCACCCGUGAAAGAAUUCAAGGAGAGCUCUGCAGCCGAGGCCUUCCGGUGCCGCAGCAUCAGUGUGUCUGAACAUGUGGUCCGCAGCAGGAUACAGACGUCCCUCACCAGUGCCAGCCUGGGGUCUGCAGACGAGAACUCCGUGGCCCAGGCUGACGAUAGCCUGAAAAGCCUCCAUCUGGAGCUCACGGAAACCUGUCUGGACAUGAUGGCCCGAUACGUCUUCUCCAACUUCACAGCUGUCCCGAAGAGGUCUCCUGUGGGCGAGUUCCUCCUGGCGGGUGGCAGGACCAAAACCUGGCUGGUUGGGAACAAGCUUGUCACUGUGACGACGAGUGUGGGAACCGGGACCCGGUCGUUACUAGGCCUGGACUCGGGGGAGCUGCAGUCCGGCCCGGAGUCGAGCUCCAGCCCCGGCAUGAAUGUGAGACAGACGAAGGAGGCGCCAGCCAAGCUGGAGUCCCAGGCUGGGCAGCAGGUGUCCCGUGGGGCCCGGGACCGGGUCCGUUCUAUGUCAGGGGGCCAUGGUCUUCGAGUUGGCGCCCUGGAUGUGCCGGCCUCCCAGUUCCCGGGCAGUGCCGCUUCUCCAGGACCACAGACUGCACCAGCCGCGAAGCCUGAGAAGGCCUCGGCCGGCGCCCGGCUUCCUGUGCAGGAGAAGACGAACCUGGCCGCCUACGUGCCCCUGCUGACCCAGGGCUGGGCGGAGAUCCUGGUCCGGAGGCCCACAGGGAACACCAGCUGGCUGAUGAGCCUGGAGAACCCGCUCAGCCCUUUCUCCUCGGACAUCAACAACAUGCCCCUGCAGGAGCUGUCCAACGCCCUCAUGGCAGCUGAGCGCUUCAAGGAGCACCGGGACACAGCCCUGUACAAGUCGCUGUCGGUGCCAGCAGCCAGCACGGCCAAACCCCCUCCUCUGCCUCGCUCCAACACAGUGGCCUCUUUCUCCUCCCUGUACCAGUCCAGCUGCCAAGGACAGCUGCACAGGAGCGUUUCCUGGGCAGACUCCGCCGUGGUCAUGGAGGAGGGAAGUCCUGGCGAGGUUCCUGUGCCAGUGGAGCCCCCAGGAUUGGAGGACUUUGAGGCGGCGCUAGGCGUGGACAGGCGCACAGACGCCUACAGCAGGUCGUCCUCAACCUCCAGCCAGGAGGAGAAGUCAUUCCACGCAGAGGAGCUGGUUGCCGGGGGAAUCCCCAUUGAACGAGCCGUCUCCUCGGAGGGUGGCCGGCCCUCUGUGGACCUCUCCUUCCAGCCCUCACAGCCCCUGAGCAAGUCUAGCUCCUCUCCUGAGCUGCAGACCCUGCAGGACAUCCUCGGGGACCCUGGGGACAAGGCUGACGUGGGCCGGCUGAGCCCUGAGGUUAAGGCCCGUUCACAGUCAGGGAUCCUGGACGGGGAAAGUGCUGCCUGGCCAGCCUCGGGCGAAGACAGUCGGGGCCAGCCCGAGGGUCCCUUGCCUUCCAGCUCCCCCCGCUCACCCAGUGGCCUCCGGCCCCGCGGUUACACCAUCUCCGACUCGGCCCCAUCACGCAGGGGCAGGAGGGUAGAAAGGGAUGCCUUUAAGAGCAGAGCCACAGCUUCCAAUGCAGAGAAAGUGCCAGGCAUCAACCCCAGUUUCGUGUUCCUGCAGCUCUACCAUUCGCCUUUCUUUGGCGACGAGUCAAACAAGCCAAUCCUGCUGCCCAAUGAGUCACAGUCCUUUGAGCGGUCGGUGCAGCUCCUCGACCAGAUCCCAUCAUACGACACCCACAAGAUCGCCGUCCUGUAUGUGGGAGAAGGCCAGAGCAACAGUGAGCUCGCCAUCCUGUCCAAUGAGCAUGGCUCCUACAGGUACACGGAGUUCCUGACGGGCCUGGGCCGGCUCAUCGAGCUCAAGGACUGCCAGCCAGACAAGGUGUACCUGGGCGGCCUGGACGUGUGUGGUGAGGACGGCCAGUUCACCUACUGCUGGCACGACGACAUCAUGCAAGCCGUCUUCCACAUCGCCACCCUGAUGCCCACCAAGGACGUGGACAAGCAUCGUUGCGACAAGAAGCGCCACCUGGGCAACGAUUUCGUGUCCAUUGUCUACAAUGACUCUGGCGAGGACUUCAAGCUCGGCACCAUCAAGGUGAGUGAGGGGCUGUCAGUGAGGCUGGGUCCCAGGCAGGUGCGCGCUACUGUGUCCUGGGUUGGUGGGGGGUCCUCCCUGAGCUUUGGUCACGAGGAGUAUGAGGAGAGGCCGCAGUGCUCAGGGCCCCAUGGGCAUGAGCUUCAAGCCCUGAGCCUGAGUUGCAUCAUCUGUGCCAGGGAGCCUGUGGCCCCUGCUGCUGGGGUUUUGUCAGGAGUAACUGGCAAGUGCAGACUGGGUGUGCUGGGUGGGCACAGUAUAGUUGGUGCUUCCUGUCUACCCGGCGCGGCCCUUGGGCCCCCAGUCUCCCCAGUGGCAGCUGUCAGGCCACUCGCUUGGUUACCGCCACGCACCACUAGGCAGCAACCAGCAUCAGCCUCUUCUGGAGGUGGGCUCGGUCGGCCAGUGUCACAGAGCAUGUCCUGGGUGCUCUGUCCAGUGAGCCCCAGCGUGGCAGGGAGAGCUGGCAUGGCCCAGGCAGGGCAGGUGGGCUGGAGGCCUCACUCCAAGGGCCCCAGGACCCUGAGGCAGCCACUGAACCAAAACCCUGGGGCUGCUAGUCAGAGUCCAGGAGGAGCAGGAGCAUAGCGAAGGCAGGCCCAGCCAGACGCCAAGACGAUCAAUGGGGGACAUCCCAGAAGCUGAGGAGGGUGUGGUGGUGCUGAGAUGGGGUACACGGCACACUUCAUGGCUGGGCAGACGGAUUUGGACGUAUGCAGACACCUUGGGGGCCCUAGCAAGUAGAGGUGCCCCGCUGUGGCUGCAGCAAAUGUGGGUGCUGGGCCCAGGUGUGGAGGGGGCUUGGCCUGUGGGAGGCCAAACACAGCCCCGCUGCCGGAGGGGAAAGUUCAGGGGCAGAUGCUGCCCAUGGAGCCAACAAGCGUCUAGCAGUGCAGCCAGGCAGUGGCUGAGAGCAGCCCUCAGCACACGGUGUGUGCGGGGAUGACCCCUUCUCUUGUCCGGGCAGGGCCAGUUCAACUUUGUCCACGUGAUCAUCACCCCGCUGGAUUAUGAGUGCAACCUGGUGUCCCUGCAGUGCAGGAAAGGUGGGGCCAGGGUGGGGCCGGUGUCCCUGCAGUGCAGGAAAGGUAGGGUUGGGGUGGGACUGGGCAGGGUGGCGCCAAGGGCCCUGGGCCUGGCAUGACCACCAAGUCUCCCCAGACAUGGAGGGCCUUGUGGACACCAGCGUGGCCAAGAUCGUGUCUGACCGCAACCUGCCUUUUGUGGCCCGUCAGAUGGCCCUGCAUGCAAACGUGAGUGGGGGCAGGUCCAGGCGUGAGCUGGUGGGACAGGCCCAAGUGCCACCUGAGAGUGAGCUCACCCCUGCCUACGUCCCUAGAUGGCCUCACAGGUGCACCACAGCCGCUCCAACCCCACCGACAUCUACCCCUCCAAGUGGAUUGCCCGGCUCCGCCACAUCAAGAGACUCCGCCAGCGGAUCUGCGAGGAAGCCGCCUACUCCAACCCCAGCCUGCCUCUGGUGCACCCCCCAUCCCAUACCAAAGGGCCUGCACAGACUCCAGCCGAGCCCACGCCUGGCUACGAGAUGGGCCAGCGGAAGCGCCUCAUCUCCUCUGUGGAGGACUUCACCGAGUUCGUGUGAGGCUGGGGCCCUCCCUGCUGCGCCCGCCCUGGACGCUAUUUUGUGUCAGUGAAAUAAAGUCCUGGCGCUGAUGCACAGACAGAGGCACA